rfam:Callithrix jacchus chromosome 22, whole genome shotgun sequence
UCUCAUGCGGUGAUUCUCCAAGGGGAGGCAUUUUUGUCGUGUGAAAUAAAACAAAGUGCCUCCUUUUAGAGAGUUACUGCUUGAGA